rnacentral:rRNA from 1 species
AACGAACGCUGGCGGCGCGCCUAAUACAUGCAAGUCGAGCGAGAAAGUGUAGCAAUACACUUGUAAAGCGGCGAACGGGUGAGGAAUACAUGGGUAAUCUACCAUCGAGUGGGGAAUAACCAACCGAAAGGUUGGCUAAUACCGCGUACGCCUCCGAGUCUUCGGGUUCGGAGGGAAAGCUGCACUGUGAGUGUAGCGCUCUUUGAUGAGCUCAUGUCCUAUCAGCUUGUUGGUAGGGUAAUGGCCUACCAAGGCUUUGACGGGUAGCUGGUCUGAGAGGACGAUCAGCCACACUGGCACUGCGACACGGGCCAGACUCCUACGGGAGGCAGCAGUAAGGAAUAUUGCGCAAUGGGCGAAAGCCUGACGCAGCGACGCCGCGUGGGGGAUGAAGGUCUUCGGAUUGUAAACCCCUUUCGGGAGGGAGAUGGAGCGAGCAAUCGUUCGGACGGUACCUCCAGAAGCAGCCACGGCCAAC